rnacentral:rRNA from 1 species
UACAGAGGGUGCGAGCGUUGUCCGGAAUCACUGGGCGUAAAGGGCGCGUAGGUGGCGACCCAAGUCGAUGGUGAAAGCUCGCCGCUCAACGGCGAGUCGGCCACCGAUACUGGGUUGCUGGAGCACUGUAGAGGCUCAUGGAAUUCCGGGUGUAGCGGUGGAAUGCGUAGAGAUCCGGAGGAACACCAGUGGCGAAGGCGGCUGGGCUGGACCUGACCUGAGCGCGUGAGGCGGCGAAGGCGUGGGGAGCGAACCGGG